UACGGAGGGGGCUAUCGGUGUUUGGAAUUACUGGGCGUAAAGCGCACGUAGGCGGAUCAGAAAGUCAGAGGUGAAAUCCCAGGGCUCAACCUUGGAACUGCCUUUGAAACUCCUGAUCUUGAGGUCGAGAGAGGUGAGUGGAAUUCCGAGUGUAGAGGUGAAAUUCGUAGAUAUUCGGAGGAACACCAGUGGCGAAGGCGGCUCACUGGCUCGAUACUGACGCUGAGGUGCGAAAGCGUGGGGAGCAAACAGG
rnacentral:rRNA from 1 species